ACCUGGGUGGCUCAGUGGUUGAGCAUCUGUCUUCAGCUCAGGUCAUGAUCCCAGGGUCCUGGGAUAGAGUCCCACAUCAGGUU
rnacentral:tRNA from 1 species